CUACGGGAUGCACCAGUGGGGAAUCUUGGACAAUGGGCGCAAGCCUGAUCCAGCCAUGCCGCGUGAGUGAUGAAGGCCCUAGGGUCGUAAAGCUCUUUCGCCAGGGAUGAUAAUGACAGUACCUGGUAAAGAAACCCCGGCUAACUCCGUGCCAGGCAGCCGCGGUAAUACGGAGGGGGUUAGCGUUGUUCGGAAUUACUGGGCGUAAAGCGCGCGUAGGCGGAUUGGAAAGUUGGGGGUGAAAUCCCGGGGCUCAACCCCGGAACUGCCUCCAAAACUCCCAGUCUUGAGUUCGAGAGAGGUGAGUGGAAUUCCGAGUGUAGAGGUGAAAUUCGUAGAUAUUCGGAGGAACACCAGUGGCGAAGGCGGCUCACUGGCUCGAUACUGACGCUGAGGUGCGAAAGUGUGGGGAGCAAACAGGAUUAGAUACCCGAGUAGUC
rnacentral:rRNA from 1 species